rnacentral:rRNA from 1 species
UACAGAGGGGGCAAGCGUUGUUCGGAAUUACUGGGCGUAAAGGGUUUGUAGGUGGCCUGCUAAGUCAGACGUGAAAUCCCUCAGCUUAACUGGGGAACUGCGUCUGAUACUGGCGGGCUUGAGGACAGGAGAGGAACGCGGAAUUCCAGGUGUAGCGGUGAAAUGCGUAGAUAUCUGGAGGAACACCGGUGGCGAAGGCGGCGUUCUGGACUGUUUCUGACACUGAAAAACGAAAGCCAGGGGAGCAAACGGG